rnacentral:lncRNA from 1 species
AAGGUAACCAGGCAAGGUGUUACUAAAGGCUGAAUAUUGAAUAAUAAGUCCUUAUUAGAGGUCAUGUGAUUAGUAGCACUAGAGUCAAUAAUCCAAAUGCAAUUAUCUACCUUUCUAAUCAUACAAGUACCAGAAGAAACCACAGACUCUACAGGAACAGGUAAAAAAUGCAUACCAGCAAAACCAGUAGAAACCAUAAGACUAGAAGGUUGAUCUGAAAUCUUGAAACUCUGUAGUAGACUUAGAAGUUGGCUAUACUGCUCCUUGGAUAACAAAGAAAAUGAUAGAUCAUUAGGAUUUCUAGGGAAUAAGCAACAGAAGAAGUGGUCGGCCCAAAAGACUCUUGAAUCUCAGCAGAAGCAGCCACUCGCUUACCCAUAAAAUUAGGAUUGGAAGGCUUGAAAUUAGCAGGAUACCCAAAUAGUUUAUGACACUUUUCAAUAACAUAUCCACUUAUUUUGUAAUAUUUGUAAAACAAGGAAGAUUUAUCUUGAUCAAAGUUGAUUGUAGGAGCAUAAAAUUUAUUGGGAUAACCGCUUUGAGGUUUGGGUGAAAUAGGAUAAGAUCGAGUUGUCGGUUUUAUUAGAUGGAAAAUAUGGUCCAGGUCUACGAUUAUGAGACAUUUAAAAAGAGGCAGAUUCUGUGGGAAAAUGAGCAGGGGAUAUUACUUGUCUCUCCCUUUCAUCUUGUAGUAGGAUGUUAUAUGUCGAAUCAAGAGAUGGGAAUGGUUGUUCCAUAAGAUUGUUACUUCGCACUCCAAUACAUGCCUCAUUCAGACCCAUGAGAAAUUGGUAAACCUUAUUUUCCUCAUAUUCCUUUUGUAGAUUAGGCUUUGCAGCACAUGUGCAGGUAUUGAUAUGAGAUGUAGAAAUAAACCUAAGCUCAUCCCAUAAUCUCUUAAGUUUGUUAACAUAAGAGGCAAUGUCUAAAGAUCCCGACUAGUAGAAGCUAAUUCUUUCUUAAGUUCGAACACCUUAGUGCCACUGAUCAAACCAUACCGCUUGUUCAAUUGACUCUAAAAUAUCUCAGCUGUGUAAGAGUAUUGUACACUUUCUACUAUAUCAGGAGACAAAGAACUGGUCAACCAUGUUAUGACCAUAUUAUUGCAUCUAUCCCAGACCCUAGCAAGGAAUAGAAAUAAUUCUAUUCAUUCUUGCAAAGGGCAUGUAACCCAAACGAUUAUGCCAUAAAACUUCUUCAUUCUGUAAUAGAUUGGAAUCAGUACAAUGGGAAACAAUAAAGGGAAUUAAAAUGUUUGGAGAAUAAUUAUCAGAAAAAAUAGAAGAAAUAAUGACAACAAUAGAAUCAGGAUUAGCAGAAGCAGGAACUGGACUGUGAUGUACUGAAGACUGUAUCAAUUUGUAAAGGUCAUUCUCCAAUCUACCAAGCUCUACUGGCCUCUUCAUUGAAGGGGUAUGGAUAAAACAAGAGAGUUUGGUAAAGAGUACAAAAUAAUUUAAUUGGGUAAUGAGCUUUGAAACAGACACAAGAUUAUACUAGAAACUAGGUAUAAUAAUAAGGACAUGAUGAAGGAUGAAAGAGAGAAAAUGAAUAGAGCCCGUGCAAGUCACCUUCACUUUGUAACCAUUAGGAAAGGUAACCAGGCAAGGUGUUACUAAAGGCUGAAUAUUGAAUAAUAAGUCCUUAUUAGAGGUCAUGUGAUUAGUAGCACUAGAGUCAAUAAUCCAAAUGCAAUUAUCUACCUUUCUAAUCAUACAAGUACCAGAAGAAACCACAGACUCUACAGGAACAGGUAAAAAAUGCAUACCAGCAAAACCAGUAGAAACCAUAAGACUAGAAGGUUGAUCUGAAAUCUUGAAACUCUGUAGUAGACUUAGAAGUUGGCUAUACUGCUCCUUGGAUAACAAAGAAAAUGAUAGAUCAUUAGGAUUUCUAGGGAAUAAGCAACAGAAGAAGUGGUCGGCCCAAAAGACUCUUGAAUCUCAGCAGAAGCAGCCACUCGCUUACCCAUAAAAUUAGGAUUGGAAGGCUUGAAAUUAGCAGGAUACCCAAAUAGUUUAUGACACUUUUCAAUAACAUAUCCACUUAUUUUGUAAUAUUUGUAAAACAAGGAAGAUUUAUCUUGAUCAAAGUUGAUUGUAGGAGCAUAAAAUUUAUUGGGAUAACCGCUUUGAGGUUUGGGUGAAAUAGGAUAAGAUCGAGUUGUCGGUUUUAUUAGAUGGAAAAUAUGGUCCAGGUCUACGAUUAUGAGACAUUUAAAAAGAGGCAGAUUCUGUGGGAAAAUGAGCAGGGGAUAUUACUUGUCUCUCCCUUUCAUCUUGUAGUAGGAUGUUAUAUGUCGAAUCAAGAGAGGGGAAUGGUUGUUCCAUAAGAUUGUUACUUCGCACUCCAAUACAUGCCUCAUUCAGACCCAUGAGAAAUUGGUAAACCUUAUUUUCCUCAUAUUCCUUUUGUAGAUUAGGCUUUGCAGCACAUGUGCAGGUAUUGAUAUGAGAUGUAGAAAUAAACCUAAGCUCAUCCCAUAAUCUCUUAAGUUUGUUAACAUAAGAGGCAAUGUCUAAAGAUCCCGACUAGUAGAAGCUAAUUCUUUCUUAAGUUCGAACACCUUAGUGCCACUGAUCAAACCAUACCGCUUGUUCAAUUGACUCUAAAAUAUCUCAGCUGUGUAAGAGUAUUGUACACUUUCUACUAUAUCAGGAGACAAAGAACUGGUCAACCAUGUUAUGACCAUAUUAUUGCAUCUAUCCCAGACCCUAGCAAGAGAUGUACUUUCAGCAGGUCUGGUAUAUGAACCAUCAAUAAAACCUAUUUUGUUUCUAGAAGAUAAGGACACAAUCAUGUUUCUCUAAAAUCCUCCAAAAUAAGUCCAUGAAAAAGGAACGCUAACUAGGGAUAUUCCAGGCACAUCGGAGAAGGAGAGAUAUAGUGGGUUAGAAUAAUCAAUAGGAACGGAGGUCGAAGCACCCGAAGAACUACUUGUGUUCACCAUGAGAGCAAAAAAAUGACAAAAAAUACAGAGAACACUGUCGAUUUCAACACAACAAAGGAAAAUGUCACAGAGAUGAGUGAGAACAAGAAAAAUUACCCCUCAUUUUUACAACUGAAAAUGGCAAGAGCCUUGGUAUAACAAGGAAAAUACAAUACGAAACAACCACGGUAGAAAAUUAUGCGCAGGAGAUAAAACUUCGAUGAAUUGUGAAAAACCGCCGUCGAUCGAGAAGAUUACCGUGAAAUACCAUGAGGGUACCAUCGAAAGGUGGAGAAUCAACCAAAGGUCACAAACCUGGCUUUGAUACCAUGUCAAUGUAUAGCAUUUAUCACAAGAUAGAUCAAUAACCAAGCUCUGCCAUGGAAGCUUUAGAGAGAGAAAAUGAAUGUCUUAACUUGGAACGUAAUAUAAUAUCUGUGUCUAGAAGGAUCUAAUUGAUCCUUUAUAUUCAAG